rnacentral:rRNA from 1 species
GUCUUCUAGCCAAACUUAUUAGAAGUCCGGCCUGCCCGGUGAGAAUUUAAACGGCCGCGGUAGCCUGACCGUGCUAAGGUAGCGCAAUCACUUGCCCUUUAAUUGGGGGCUAGUAUGAAUGGCCAGACAAGGGCUUAACUGUCUCAAAGAUUUACCUGAAAAUUGACCUUUAGGUGCAGAGGCCUAAAUAUUAGUGAAAGACAAGAAGACCCUAUCGAGCUUUAAUUUUUUUUAUUUUUAUAUAAAUAAAAUGAAUUUUUAUUGGGGCAAUAAAGGAGCAUACAAAGCCUCCUUUUAUUAGACCAGUUAAACAGAAUAACAGUAGAAACAUUUUAAAAUGCUCAUAGACACAAGCUACCGUAGGGAUAACAGACUAAUUUUCCUUGAGAGUCCACAUUGACAGGAAAGUUUGGCACCUCGAUGUUGGCUUAAAAAACAGUUACGAAGCAGCACUCUAACCCUGUAGGUUUGUUCAACCUUUAAAACUUUA